rnacentral:rRNA from 1 species
AUUGAACGCUGGCGGCAUGCCUUACACAUGCAAGUCGAACGGCAGCACGGGAGCUUGCUCCUGGUGGCGAGUGGCGAACGGGUGAGUAAUACAUCGGAACGUACCCUGAAGUGGGGGAUAACGUAGCGAAAGUUACGCUAAUACCGCAUAUUCUGUGAGCAGGAAAGAGGGGGAUCGCAAGACCUCUUGCUUUAGGAGCGGCCGAUGUCGGAUUAGCUAGUUGGUGAGGUAAAGGCUCACCAAGGCGACGAUCCGUAGCGGGUCUGAGAGGAUGAUCCGCCACACUGGGACUGAGACACGGCCCAGACUCCUACGGGAGGCAGCAGUGGGGAAUUUUGGACAAUGGGCGAAAGCCUGAUCCAGCCAUGCCGCGUGAGCGAAGAAGGCCUCGGGUUGU